rnacentral:lncRNA from 1 species
AUAUCCUUAACUCAAAGGAUUUAUAAGUUCAAUCUUGACUUUACACUAGCUCUAGUGUCCUUUACAUCACUUUAUGUUGCAAACUCAUGCAAUCACAUUCUUUACAUAUCUUUACUUCUGCUAGCUCUAGCAAUCUUGUUCGUUACAUUUCUUGUUCUUAUUGCCCCACUUCACUUUAACUUUACUCAUUAUCAUUUUCAUCAUUCUUCACAUUACAUUGGUUCUUUACCUCACACUAUCUCUAGUGUCAUUUUACAUUAACUUUAUCAAAUGCCACUCGAUCUAUGUCAUAGUGUCACUCUGUUCUUUUGCUCACCUUG